GAUGAAGAACGUAGCGAAAUGCGAUACGUAGUGUGAAUUGCAGAAUUCAGUGAAUCAUCGAAUCUUUGAACGCACAUUGCGCCCGCUGGUAUUCCGGCGGGCAUGCCUGUUCGAGCGUCAUUUCAACCCUCAAACCCCCGGGUUUGGUGUUGGGGAUCGGCUCUGCCUCACGGCGGUGCCGCCCCCGAAAUACAUUGGCGGUCUCGCUGCAGCCUCCAUUGCGUAGUAGCUAACACCUCGCAACUGGAACGCGGCGCGGCCAUGCCGUAAAACCCCAACUUCUGAAUGUUGACCUCGGAUCAGGUAGGAAUACCCGCUGAACUUAAGCAUAUCAAUAAGCGGAGGA
rnacentral:misc_RNA from 1 species